AGUGCUUGUUCUAUUGAUCCUGAAGAGAAUGAGGAGAGAGUGGCUGCCUUUCUCCUCAAGCAUCCGGAGUUCACUAUAGAUCUUGCUGAUAGGUACGUCCCACCUGAUCUUGUUACGGACAAAGGGUUCUUCUUCUCCAGCCCAGUCAAACAUCAUCUUGAUGGAUCAUUUGCGGCCCGCCUUGUCCAAUCUGUAGACCACAAGAUGAACCCUGGAUAGCAAGCAAAACGUGAACCUCUCCUCUUUAAUCAAGACAAGGUAGGGCCAUGAUUGGAUACAAUUAUCCAACAAGAAACUUUUCUCUUGCAACUCAUGUUGUCAAAAUCGUUAUCAUAUUGCAAAUCGUAAUUGGGAUUGAAUCGUAUCG